UUAAGUUAUUAAGGGCGCACGGUGGAUGCCUUGGCACUAGAAGCCGACGAAGGACGUUACUAACGACGAUAUGCUUUGGGGAGCUGUAAGUAAGCUUUGAUCCAGAGAUUUCCGAAUGGGGAAACCCAGCACGAGUUAUGUCGUGUUAUCGAUAUGUGAAUACAUAGCAUAUCUGAAGGCAGACGCGGAGAACUGAAACAUCUUAGUACCCGCAGGAAGAGAAAGAAAAAUCGAUUCCCUGAGUAGCGGCGAGCGAAACGGGAAGAGCCCAAACCAACGAGCUUGCUUGUUGGGGUUGUAGGACACUCUAUACGGAGUUACAAAAGAACAGACUAGACGAAUCAUCUGGAAAGAUGAAUCAAAGAAGGUAAUAAUCCUGUAGUCGAAAGUUUGUUCACUCUUGAGUGGAUCCUGAGUACGACGGAACACGAGAAAUUCCGUCGGAAUCUGGGAGGACCAUCUCCCAAGGCUAAAUACUUUCUAGUGACCGAUAGUGAACCAGUACCGUGAGGGAAAGGUGAAAAGUACCCCGGAAGGGGAGUGAAAUAGAACUUGAAACCGUGUGCUUACAAGUAGUCAGAGCCCGUUAAUGGGUGAUGGCGUGCCUUUUGUAGAAUGAACCGGCGAGUUACGAUUUGAUGCAAGGUUAAGCAGUGAAUGUGGAGCCGUAGCGAAAGCGAGUCUGAAUAGGGCGUUGAGUAUUUGGUCGUAGACCCGAAACCAGGUGAUCUACCCAUGACCAGGUUGAAGUUCAGGUAACACUGAAUGGAGGACCGAACCGACUUACGUUGAAAAGUGAGCGGAUGAGUUGUGGGUAGCGGAGAAAUUCCAAUCGAACCUGGAGAUAGCUGGUUCUCUCCGAAAUAGCUUUAGGGCUAGCCUCAAGUGAUGAUUAUUGGAGGUAGAGCACUGUUUGGACGAGGGGCCCUUAUCGGGUUACCGAAUUCAGACAAACUCCGAAUGCCAAUCAAUUUAACUUGGGAGUCAGAACGCGGGUGAUAAGGUCCGUGUUCGAAAGGGAAACAGCCCAGACCACCAGCUAAGGUCCCAAAAUAUAUGUUAAGUGGAAAAGGAUGUGGCGUUGCCCAGACAACUAGGAUGUUGGCUUAGAAGCAGCCAUCAUUUAAAGAGUGCGUAAUAGCUCACUAGUCGAGUGACACUGCGCCGAAAAUGUACCGGGGCUAAACAUAUUACCGAAGCUGUGGAUUGUCCGUAAGGACAAUGGUAGGAGAGCGUUCUAAGGGCGUUGAAGCAUGAUCGCAAGGACAUGUGGAGCGCUUAGAAGUGAGAAUGCCGGUGUGAGUAGCGAAAGACGGGUGAGAAUCCCGUCCACCGAUUGACUAAGGUUUCCAGAGGAAGGCUCGUCCGCUCUGGGUUAGUCGGGUCCUAAGCUGAGGCCGAUAGGCGUAGGCGAUGGAUAACAGGUUGAUAUUCCUGUACCACCAUUAUUCGUUUUAAGCGAUGGGGGGACGCAGUAGGAUAGGCGAAGCGUACGAUUGGAUUGUACGUCCAAGCAGUGAGAUUGAGUGUUAGGCAAAUCCGGCACUCUUAAGAUUGAGCUGUGAUGGGGAGAGGAAAUUGUUUCCUCGAGUCGUUGAUUUCACACUGCCAAGAAAAGCCUCUAGCUAGAAUUGUGGUGCCCGUACCGCAAACCGACACAGGUAGUCAAGAUGAGAAUUCUAAGGUGAGCGAGCGAACUCUCGUUAAGGAACUCGGCAAAAUGACCCCGUAACUUCGGGAGAAGGGGUGCUCUUUAGGGUUAACGCCCAGGAGAGCCGCAGUGAAUAGGCCCAAGCGACUGUUUAUCAAAAACACAGGUCUCUGCUAAACCGUAAGGUGAUGUAUAGGGGCUGACGCCUGCCCGGUGCUGGAAGGUUAAGAGGAGUGGUUAGCUUCUGCGAAGCUACGAAUCGAAGCCCCAGUAAACGGCGGCCGUAACUAUAACGGUCCUAAGGUAGCGAAAUUCCUUGUCGGGUAAGUUCCGACCCGCACGAAAGGCGUAACGAUUUGGGCACUGUCUCAACGAGAGACUCGGUGAAAUCAUAGUACCUGUGAAGAUGCAGGUUACCCGCGACAGGACGGAAAGACCCCGUGGAGCUUUACUGUAGUCUGAUAUUGAAAUUCGGCACAGCUUGUACAGGAUAGGUAGGAGCCUGAGAUACGUGAGCGCUAGCUUACGUGGAGGCGUUGGUGGGAUACUACCCUCGCUGUGUUGGAUUUCUAACCCGCACCAUUUAUCAUGGUGGGAGACAGUGUCAGAUGGGCAGUUUGACUGGGGCGGUCGCCUCCUAAAGAGUAACGGAGGCGCUCAAAGGUUUCCUCAGAAUGGUUGGAAAUCAUUCAUAGAGUGUAAAGGCAUAAGGAAGCUUGACUGCGAGACUUACAAGUCGAGCAGGGUCGAAAGACGGACUUAGUGAUCCGGUGGUUCCGCAUGGAAGGGCCAUCGCUCAACGGAUAAAAGCUACCCCGGGGAUAACAGGCUUAUCUCCCCCAAGAGUUCACAUCGACGGGGAGGUUUGGCACCUCGAUGUCGGCUCAUCGCAUCCUGGGGCUGUAGUCGGUCCCAAGGGUUGGGCUGUUCGCCCAUUAAAGCGGUACGCGAGCUGGGUUCAGAACGUCGUGAGACAGUUCGGUCCCUAUCCGUCGUGGGCGUAGGAAAUUUGAGAGGAGCUGUCCUUAGUACGAGAGGACCGGGAUGGACAUACCUCUGGUGUACCAGUUGUCGUGCCAACGGCAUCGCUGGGUAGCUAUGUAUGGACGGGAUAAGUGCUGAAAGCAUCUAAGCAUGAAGCCCCCCUCAAGAUGAGAUUUCCCAACUUCGGUUAUAAGAUCCCUCAAAGAUGAUGAGGUUAAUAGGUUCGAGGUGGAAGCAUAGCGAUAUGUGCAGCUGACGAAUACUAAUCGAUCGAAGACUUAAUCAA
rnacentral:rRNA from 2 species